CGCGUAGGCGGUUCUGUAAGUCCUGUGUGAAAUCCCUCGGCUCAACUGAGGAAUGGCACGGGAAACUGCGGGGCUUGAGUUCGGGAGAGGGAAGCGGAAUUCCGGGUGUAGCGGUGAAAUGCGUAGAUAUCCGGAGGAACACCGGUGGCGAAGGCGGCUUCCUGGACCGACACUGACGCUGAGGCGCGAAAGCUAGGGGAGCAAACGGGAUUAGAUACCCCGGUAGUCCUAGCUGUAAACGAUGAGUGCUGGGUGUAGGGGGUAUUAACCCCCCCUGUGCCGAAGCUAACGCAUUAAGCACUCCGCCUGGGGAGUACGGUCGCAAGGCUGAA
rnacentral:rRNA from 1 species